GAAGAUUCUGGCAAUUUUUUCAUCCUUGGAGGAGUCUGCAAUAGUUGGGUCAUUGUUGAUGUUUCAAUAGUUGUCCAUAAGUCCACGUAAUAUGUUCACUUUUGUUUGAAAACCCUUCUCCCAUGCCAAAAGGAGAAGUGAUGACAUUGUUGGCACAUUAAUACAAUGAUAUUCAUUCAAUAAUUACAUGUUAAAUGUUUGUUUUUCCAAAUCAUUUUCACUUUUU
rnacentral:lncRNA from 1 species